CAUCCUUGUAGGCAGCCUGCGAAGUGAGUUUGGAAGUUGCCCAGCGAAGAGCCCAGAGUUGGAAGUCAAGAGCUUUGAAAUCAGUUCUGGCUCUAUCAUCACUAGCUGCAUGACCUUGGGCAAGUAAUUUAAUCUCUCAGAAGUCUGAGUGUUCUCAUCUGGAAAAAGAACUCUAGUUUCAACAUUCAGAUUUUUAAGGUGAAAACGGCCAAUCUGCGCAUAAUGUGGCUCUUUGCAACCAGACCUGAACUGCUCUCCCCGACCGUGUAGUCUACCUGAUGGAAUCCCCCCUGCAGCUCGGCCUCGGGAACCAGGACCCGCAGCAGCAGCUUCUCUCCGCUGCCAGCGUGCGAGCCAGCGGCCUCUCUCCUCUUCAGAGUUCCCAGGUCCCGGGCUCCUCGCUGACAGGGGAAAUGAAUGGCUGUGAUUAUA